ACUCUGACCUCUGACUGUUCGCACAAAUGUCCUUCAGUGAUUCCUGAAAUCUGGUUGGUUUGAGACAGUUGUCUUUCGUGGUUUUGUUUGUUUGUUUUUUGUUAUUGUUUUUAUUUAUUUUUUUUUUUUUGGUUGUUUUGCCCUGAAGUUUCAAAUCAACGUGCAGGGCCGGACUCUUUCUUUUUAGGCCGAGGGGUUGCCCACACAAAGGACCAAAAGGCUCCAUCACUGUGUGACAGAUGAUCAGAUUCUGAAGUUGGUGCAUGGUUUGUAAUUAAAGGUGUGCUUAUAAGAGAGAGAAUCUAAGAUUUGAAAUUUUUUCGGCGAUCAAUGGUUCCUAGCUAUAGUCUAGGCCUCCGAUAUAAAGACGCUUCGAUACUUCUCAGAAUCAUGACAUCAUCCUCAUGCCACCGACUGUGUCUCCUCAAAACACUUCCUGACUGCAAUUCCACAUUUUGAAACAAAUGGACCCACCUCUGCCUCUGUUCUGACGUGGAAUCCGCAGAAGGAAAUCAGAUACAGUUGGUGAUGUGUGAUAAGACGGUGUUCACAGAGACAUUAAUAACAGAGCUGAGCUGUGGCAGAUGAACACAUACUUUCCAGGUGAAAAGACAGAGACAACGAAGUGGAACAGCUUGGCAUGCAUCUCUGCUGUAAAACCCCUCACGGCAUACAAGUGACUUCUAUUCAAUGUGGCAUGAAUGGCAAGUAAAUGAAGGCUUUCAGUGUAAUGAGUUUGAAAAGGCUAACGGGAGGUUCCUGGACCAGAGGCUCACAAGUUAAGGGGAUUGCAGCUUACCACUUGCCUAUCAAAAGUGUAUGACUAACAGCAGGAAGGAUGAGCAGAUUCGUGUAUCAGAAGAAUACGGGAUGGAGUAUGGGCAGAUGUGCCUUGGGGAAGAAGCUGUAAGGCACAGGGUACAACUUGGAAAAGAUCACUGUCUGUGAGCACGGUCAUGUGACCUUUACUUUGUACUAGACAAGGUGGCUGGGCGCUGCCCAGGUGGUCUGCAAGCAGAUUCAAGGCCCGAUAUCCAAGUGGGAGCUGAUGAAAGUGAGAAGGGCUAUCUAAAUGGUGGGCUGAUAUCUUUGAUAUUAUUCUGGGAGGAAUCAUGGGAACAUUGGAAUAGUGAUGAGGUCCUUCUAGUCUUUAAUUAGUUUAAUUCAUAGUCCUUGGGAGAUAUGCAGGUUUGAUGUCCAGUGGAGAUGUGAGUUUGGAACUCAGGAUAAAGGUCUUAGAGGUGUCAGCAAAAGCCCUCUCCAUGAGAUGGAACCCAUCGCUGACACUGCUUGGGUGACAAGAACAUGAGAUUAGUUGUGUCAGAGACCUAAGGUAAGACCAAAUACUGCUGUUCUGCUAUAGGAAAUUAGCAAUAAAAUGCCUUCUAAUGAUGUUCUGCUAUACUCAUAGACCAGCCCCUUGCUCAGACAUCAUCAAAAAAGUUUUUUUCUGCAGCAGAUGGAACAAAUACAGAGGCCCACAACUGGACAAUGUGCACACACAAUCAAGGUGUCGCUAUCAAAUCUCUCCCCUCAAAGCUCAGGAAACCCUGCUGAAGAGGAGGUAGGAAGCUUGUAAGAGCCAGGUGAGAUUUAAGAUGAGAAGGAAAUGGGGCCUUCUAAAUGCAGCAGGACAGACACACAUAAACUCACACAUACUGUGGCCAUGUGCACAGGGUCUGUCUGCAUGGAUCUAAUCCAGACGGGGUCCCAGCGCUGAAAGGAAGAGUGGGCACAGGCUCACAUCCCUCACACAGAAGUUAUCUUCAAUUGAUAACUGCUUGCAUAGCAAAAAAUAUAGGGUUUUGUUUUUCUUUUUGUUUCUAUUUUUGUUUUUCUCCCAAUGGAGUCUCCCUGGGUAUACAAACCAUUCUUAAAUUCAAGCCCCAUGCCCAGCAGUAGAUGGCUAACACAAACUGAACUCAGUGGUGUUGUGAGAGGUUAUUUGUUCCACCAUGCUGUGAAGGAGCAUCUUAGGGUU
rnacentral:sRNA from 1 species